UACAGGGGGGGCAAGCGUUGUUCGGAAUUACUGGGCGUAAAGAGCUCGUAGGCGGCUGUUCAAGUCGAACGUGAAAACUCGGAGCUCAACUCCGAGCCUGCGUUCGAUACUGGACGGCUAGAGUCUGGUAGGGGGAUCUGGAAUUCCUGGUGUAGCGGUGGAAUGCGCAGAUAUCAGGAGGAACACCGGUGGCGAAGGCGGGUCUCUGGGCCUUACCUGACGCUCAGGUGCGAAAGCUAGGGGAGCGAACAGG
rnacentral:rRNA from 1 species